rnacentral:rRNA from 1 species
UACGUAGGGUCCAAGCGUUAUCCGGAAUCACUGGGCGUAAAGAGCUCGUAGGCGGUCUGUCGCGUCUGCUGUGAAAACUCGGGGCUUAACCUCGGGCCUGCAGUGGGUACGGGCAGACUAGAGUGCGGUAGGGGAGACUGGAAUUCCUGGUGUAGCGGUGAAAUGCGCAGAUAUCAGGAGGAACACCGGUGGCGAAGGCGGGUCUCUGGGCCGUAACUGACGCUGAGGAGCGAAAGCAUGGGGAGCGAACAGG